AUCCAACUGACGAGUUCCAAAUAGGACGAAACGCGCGUCCUGGAU
rfam:Schistosoma mattheei strain Denwood, Zambia genome assembly, scaffold: SMTD_scaffold0000938